rnacentral:misc_RNA from 1 species
GGCUGUUAGAGAGACAGGGUCAGGAACAGAAAGUGUCCUGGUUUGCUCCUUAUCCAAACAUAAUAAAACGCAGAAAAUGUGUAGUAGAAUUUAGCGCCAAAUCCCAACAUCAUUGUGAGGGACCCAAACCUAAAAUGUCGCCCAGAACAGCACCCCAAAAUGCACAAAAGCAAUGUUGCGUAGCACAAGCCCUCCGUCUCCUC